rnacentral:rRNA from 1 species
AGAGUUUGAUCCUGGCUCAGGAUGAACGCUGGCGGCGUGCUUAACACAUGCAAGUCGAACGAUGAACCUGUGCUUGCACGGGGGAUUAGUGGCGAACGGGUGAGUAACACGUGAGUAACCUGCCCUUGACUUCGGGAUAAGCCUGGGAAACUGGGUCUAAUACUGGAUACGACCUCUCAUCGCAUGGUGUGGGGGUGGAAAGUUUUUGCGGUUUUAGAUGGACUCGCGGCCUAUCAGCUUGUUGGUGAGGUAAUGGCUCACCAAGGCGACGACGGGUAGCCGGCCUGAGAGGGUGACCGGCCACACUGGGACUGAGACACGGCCCAGACUCCUACGGGAGGCAGCAGUGGGGAAUAUUGCACAAUGGGCGAAAGCCUGAUGCAGCGACGCCGCGUGAGGGACGACGGCCUUCGGGUUGUAAACCUCUUUCAGUAGGGAACAAGGCAUCAUUUUUGUGGUGUUGAGGGUACUUGCAGAAGAAGCACCGGCUAACUACGUGCCAGCAGCCGCGGUAAUACGUAGGGUGCAAGCGUUAUCCGGAAUUAUUGGGCGUAAAGAGCUCGUAGGCGGUUUGUCGCGUCUGUCGUGAAAGUCCGGGGCUCAACUCCGGAUCUGCGGUGGGUACGGGCAGACUAGAGUGAUGUAGGGGAGACUGGAAUUCCUGGUGUAGCGGUGGAAUGCGCAGAUAUCAGGAGGAACNCCGAUGGCGAAGGCAGGUCUCUGGGCAUUAACUGACGCUGAGGAGCGAAAGCAUGGGGAGCGAACAGGAUUAGAUACCCUGGUAGUCC